AAGUAGGGUACCUAAUCUAAGGGAUUGCCCUGAUGCGGUAAACAUGUUUAUAACCUCUGCUUU
rnacentral:tRNA from 1 species